rnacentral:rRNA from 1 species
CAGUCGCCGCGGGAAUACGAAGGGUGCAAGCGUUACUCGGAAUUACUGGGCGUAAAGCGUGCGUAGGUGGUGGUUUAAGUCCGUUGUGAAAGCCCUGGGCUCAACCUGGGAAUUGCAGUGGAUACUGGGUCACUAGAGUGUGGUAGAGGAUAGUGGAAUUUCCGGUGUAGCAGUGGAAUGCGUAGAGAUCGGAAGGAACAUCUGUGGCGAAGGCGACUAUCUGGGCCAACACUGACACUGAGGCACGAAAGCGUGGGGAGCAAACAGGAUUAGAUACCCCUGUAGUCCCUGUCUCUUAUAC